rnacentral:rRNA from 1 species
UUGAACGCUGGCGGCAGGCCUAACACAUGCAAGUCGAACGGUAACAGGAAGAAGCUUGCUUCUUUGCUUACGAGUGGCGUACGGGUGAGUAAUGUCUGGGAAACUGCCUGAUGGAGGGGGAUAACUACUGGAAACGGUAGCUAAUACCGCAUAACGUCGCAAGACCAAAGAGGGGGACCUUCGGGCCUCUUGCCAUCGCAUGUGCCCAGAUGGGAUUAGCUAGUAGGUGGGGUAACGGCUCACCUAGGCGACGAUCCCUAGCUUGUCUGAGAGGAUGACCAGCCACACUGGAACUGAGACACGGUACAGACUCCUACGGGAGGCAGCAGUGGGGAAUAUUGCACAAUGGGCGCAAGCCUGAUGCAGCAAUGCCGCGUGUAUGAAGAAGGCCUUCGGGUUGUAAAGUACUUUCAGCGGGGAGGAAGGGAGUAAAGUUAAUACCUUUGCUCAUUGACGUUACCCGCAGAAGAAGCACCGGCUAACUCCGUG